rnacentral:lncRNA from 1 species
GCGAUGCGGGGCAUGCGUAGAUGAGACUCCAUCUGCCCGGAGCAGCUUUCCUGAGCCUUGGAGGAUAGCUUCGUCAUGGCUCCUAGACUUCCGUUUAUCCUUGCUGCCUAUCUGGUUGCAGCCUGCAGCCUGGCCAUCCUGCAGGCUGGGAAGCACAGCCCCUGGCAAAAACCAGACGCGAGCACUUCAGAGAAGGAAGGAUGAGACAGGAAUUGAAGCUGAACAGCCACAUCUGUACAAGCUCAAAAAAAAAAGAAAAGAAAAAGCCUGGGUGCUUUCUCCUUUGGCACCAGCGAGACAUCCAAACCAUGGAAACCUCUGCCCAUAUGGAAUGCUCACCCUGGUCCCACGGUGAAUCAUAAUAGAGACCCAAGCCAGUCACCUUUCCUGGCCCUCACAAACCAUUUCUGACCUGCUUGAGAGGUCUGCCCGGUUCUCCCAGAGACCUCAAUUAUCCUUUCAGAGCUGGAUGCAUAAGUCAAGCAGCAUCAAUGCCAAUGACCUGUGAGGAAACAUUUAAGAAGGAGACACUACCUCUCUUUUCUGAAGAAUCAAAUCAGUGACUCAUUCUAAUUCUCUUGGGUGUGUGGAAGGAGGAUGAGAGCUUUGAACCUACAGCUACUGUUUAGUAACUACGAGGCGAUGUCCUGAGAUUUCCUACUAGGUCUCUGUCUGAGGAUGUAGUCAGUAUUUGAAAAAAGAACAGAGGGAUAAGGAGAAAAAUCAUCUGUAGCAUGACUCAAGUUGCUGGAUCUAGCCUCACCUGAAGAGAUACAUCUUGGACUUUUCUGUUACAUGACCUGACAUCUUCUCUUUAAAUAUUUUUUGUAGACACAAUUCUUCAUGUGGACUUAUGUAUUAAAUUUUAGCUGAAUCCAUGAAAUAAAUUUUUAUAAAUGGCUCAAAUACUCCAAGUUAAUGCUUACUUUUAUCUUUCUUUCCCUUAAUCUGAAA